UACGAAGGGUGCAAACGUUGCUCGGAAUCAUUGGGCGUAAAGCGCACGUAGGCGGCCCGCUAAGUCGGAUGUGAAAGCCCUCGGCUCAACCAUGGAAGUGCAUUCGAAACUGGCAGGCUUGAGUAUCAAAGAGGAUCGCGGAAUUCCCGGUGUAGAGGUGAAAUUCGUAGAUAUUCGCAAGAACACCAGUGGCGAAGGCGGCUCACUGGCCCGAUACUGACGCUGAGGCACGAAAGCGUGGGGAGCAAACAGG
rnacentral:rRNA from 1 species